rnacentral:rRNA from 1 species
CGAAAGCCUGACGGAGCAACGCCGCGUGAGGGAUGAAGGCCUCUGGGCUGUAAACCUCUUUUCUUAAGGAAGAAGAUCUGACGGUACUUGAGGAAUAAGCCACGGCUAAUUCCGUGCCAGCAGCCGCGGUAAUACGGGAGUGGCAAGCGUUAUCCGGAAUUAUUGGGCGUAAAGCGUCCGCAGGCGGCCGUGUAAGUCUGCCGUUAAAGCGUGGAGCUCAACUCAUUUCAACGGUGGAAACUACAAGGCUUGAGUGUGGCAGGGGCAGAGGGAAUUCCCGGUGUAGCGGUGAAAUGCGUAGAUAUCGGGAAGAACACCAGUGGCGAAGGCGCUCUGCUGGGCCAUAACUGACGCUCAUGGACGAAAGCCAGGGGAGCG